rnacentral:sRNA from 1 species
AACCGUAAAAGAGAAAUGAAGGGCCAUAGGCAAGGAAGACGGGGAACGAAAACGUGGAAGAGACGGCGGGGAAUUUUCAUUUCAAAACUCAGAUCAAAUUGCUAAAUUAACAGCGAGACAAACGAAAGCGAGCGCCCUUAGAGGAACUUGUUUUGACUUCCUUCCCUUUCCCGCUUUCGGGCCCCCCAGAAAUCACAGCAAGCCAGAACGUUUGAACGCGAUGGAGAACGCAGAGUUAAACAAAUUUUAAACUGGUUGUUGAACUGGAAUCCGCGAAGAAAGAGAAGAGGGCAGCAAGCGCAAGGGGGCAAGUGGGAACUACAAAGAUGGGCCGUGUGAAACGGUGUUUUAAACUUGCAUCCCACUCCAUCCCGCACGGGGUUAACGGUCCCUCUAUCAAGAUCAAAACAAAACGGUGUGCCAACAACUAUUCGCGGCAACAGAGGGUAAACAGAACAGGGAAAAAUCAAAUAGAAUAAAAAAUGAAAUCGGAAUCUUGUCUAAAAAACAUCGGGGCGAUAAGUCGUCGGUCGAGUGGCAACAAAAUAAACACAAAGAGGAAAAACAAAAUACAGCAAUUAAAAGAUUAACAAAGCACGGCGGCAGCAACAACAACUAACCGAGAAAUCAAAAGGAACAGAACGAAAAUGUUUUUUAUGCGUUUUAAAUUUCCCAAGCGAUAGAACAGCAUACAAAAGUGCGUAAAAACACAAUUGACCUUCAAAAAUUUUUUGCGCAAAAUAUAAAAACAAUGUGAUUAUCGCCCCGAUCCGAUGCAAUAAAAACAUUACCUUUUUCA